AUAGUAACAAAGCCAGAAAAAGAUAAAUGAAAUAAAAGAAAACAACAAACAAACAAAAAUACCCCACACAAUCCUAAAAUUUUAUUGGAUAAUGACAUCUCUUAUGAAAAUUCAUUUCCUGUUAAUAUUCGAAAAACACAGUUAAACAAUGGCAAGGGUACUUAUAAUCUAAAAGUCAUAGAGGAAACUCAUCGAAAAUGUGAUAAUUUAUUCUACUUAACGCCAGACAUAUUAACCUUUGUUCGGCAAUUUUUAAAGACAAUUAAUAUUCUUUGCAUGUUAACACAAAGUGAAAAUAAAUAUGCCAUGCACAACAAAAUGGACAAAUUUAACCAGAGCUAACAAAGUUAUCUUUGUUUUGACAGUGGUUGCACUUUCUUUGCUUGUCUUUGGAUUUUCAACGCCACUUUGGAUUUUGAUAUCAGUGAAAACUGAAUUUAACUUUGAAGCUUUUGAAAUGGUCGAGAAGGAAUAUAUUGGUCUUUGGCAGUGGUGCUUUAAACAUUAUGGAUGUUUUGAUCUAUCUUUUCUGGCGAAACAAUUUUCAAUAUUUACCAAGAUUAACAAACGUUUUAAUCUGAUAGAUGAUGUGAUAAUAAACAAGGCCAACAGAAUUAUAAAUUUGUGGACAAUUUCUAGAUCAUGUGCAACUGUGGCCGUCGUUUGUGCAAUAUCGUUUUCGAUUUGGAAACUGUAUUUCAUCUGGAUACGGGAGAUGAACCAUGUCCGUGUCUACUAUAUUGUUUCAAUUGUAGAAAAUUUCAUCAUUGGUCCUGCUUUAUGUGUAUGCUUGAUAACGUUUAGUGUUGCAAUACAAACCUAUGAUGAGCUAAAAAUUAAUCUAUAUAAUAACGGAUUGGAUAUUAACGAAAUACUACACAAAGUAGACAUUCACAGAUAUUUUUUCAUUUCUUUUUGGAUGGUUUGUGCUGCAACAAUACUGUACUUUUCUAAUGGGAUACUAGCCAUUGUCACUUUAUGCAGAAGCUAUGUAAUCAACACAAAAGCCGCAUCUGGAAGACGCUCAGUAGCAGCAACUAAAAGUGGAAACGAGAAAUCGUUAGAAAUGAUUUAUGUGUAUAAUUCAUAAAUUAUAGAACAACUCUGACAGAUUAACAGUUCGGUUUUUAGAUUAUAAUUGAUAAUAGUCUUUGUUCGAUUUCUUGUCAUUCUGAUGGCGUUUGUCGUACGGUUUUACCAUUUCUCAGUUAUACAAAUAUAAAUUUUUGAGAAUGAAAGGUAGAACUAAAUCAAUCUUGAGUAAGGCAACCGUAUAAAUAAUUUAUGGAGUGUCUUUUUUUUUUUUUACUAAAAUUUCCUUUUUAGAAUUAACAAUAUACUAUAGGUACUUCUUAGAGCGCUCUUAGAUAUGUCCAUUUGUUUUAUCUCCUGUUCCUUUUCCCAUAUUUUACAAGUUUCCAAUUAGAUUCCUUUCCCCAUAUUUUAUUGAUGGUUUCUCUUCGGUCUCAUUUACGUACUUGUAUAUCUUUAUUUACUCUUGGCAUGCAUACAUUAUGUAACAUGUUUAUAAAUAUUAGAGUGGAAGUGCAAUAUUUUGUAAAGAGUCAAGCAUGACUAUUUUCCAUAUUUUUAUCAUGAAAUCCGCCAAUUAGUUUGCUUCAAAUAAAUGUUUGCUUUAUUUGUAUAGGUUAAAGUUAGUUUCGUGAGUUAUUCUACUAAUAUGUUUAUCGAACAGUGAUGUUAACAUUUUUGUUUUAUCCUAGUUUAUUAUGAGUCAUCCUCAGUGAUCGCGUUUAUGCCAUGUCGACAUGUAUGAAAAUCAUACAACAGUUCGAAACAAAACAAAAUGUAAAGGGUAAAUUACUGGAUAAAAACAAUAUAUGUACAUAGUCAGUAAAAAAAAAAUUAAAUUCAAUGUACUUGCUACAAAUCAGGAAAAAAGUUUGGCGAGCCUCGUUGUUCGUCCUGUUUCUUGUUGGUAAAAUUAUCAAUCAUAUACUUAUAAAUAUAGGAGUGAUUUUUGAGUGACAUUAUAUGGAAUUUUAAAAUCGAUUAAUUAAUAAAUUGUUUGAAAAAUAAAGUUGCCACUCCCCAGACAAAGCUGAUCUUAAUGAAUUUGGUAUCAAUAUAAUGUACUUAAAUUAUGAGUUUUAUAUAUUUUAUGUAAAUAUGUAUGUAUAGCUUCUCAUGAGUCGUUAAACAGUGGCUCUGGUUUUAUAUAUUUUGUGAGUUUAUAUUUUAUACGUUUUUUUUUUUAUAAAAAGUGAAACAUUAAUGUAUUGUCUUUGUCUUGACUGCAUUAUUUAACAUAAUUCUAGAAAUGUUAGAAGGCCCGGGCGGUAAAUAUAGGACAAUACCACUGUUAAACUAUCCGUAAUUUUAGGCAGUUUAUUUGCUGCUCCGGUUUUAUCUCUUUUUAUACAUUCUGUAGAUAUCUCAUACCUCUUAUUUUCAGGUUUAUGACAAAACUGUUGACAAAAUACUUGUAUUUUAAAUUAGUAGUGAACAUGUUUACUUCUAACUGACAAGAUCUGCUUUGAAAUUUUAUUACAAAACAAAUAAAUGUAAUAUAUUUAAAUAAUGCAUUUUAUAUAUAUUAUUAAAUAUUUAUAUCCAGUCACACAAAUAUACUCUUUUAAGAAUGGCUUUGGUUUUAUAUAUUAUGUGAAUUUGUAUUUUUAACAUAUAUUGUAUAAAAAGUGAAACUUCAAUAAAGUAUUAAUUAUCUUG